rnacentral:rRNA from 1 species
GUCCGGAAUUACUGGGCGUAAAGAGCUCGUAGGUGGUUUGUCGCGUUGUUCGUGAAAUCUCACGGCUUAACUGUGAGCGUGCGGGCGAUACGGGCAGACUAGAGUACUGCAGGGGAGACUGGAAUUCCUGGUGUAGCGGUGGAAUGCGCAGAUAUCAGGAGGAACACCGGUGGCGAAGGCGGGUCUCUGGACAUUUCCUGACGCUGAGGCACGAAAGCCAGGGGAGCAAACGGG